rnacentral:pre_miRNA from 9 species
UCUUGAUAACGUAAAAGUGAACUCAAUUUUGUAUGCAGUUGGAACGUUUGCCUGCGUUUGCCGCUAGGGGCGCUGUUCUAACUGCAAAGAGAUUUGUGUUAACUUUUAUGCUAUCGA